AAGAAAUCUCAACAAAAGCCGUGUUAAAGAAUAAAGAUGUCUGCCAGCUUGUUGUGUUUCGUGUGUUGAUGAAUGGCAUGGUGUGCAAGUUCGUGUGCAUUCUGUAGAUUUCACAGAAUUAUUGAUCGCUUCUGAGUUUUUGAUUCAUAUCAAACGCACCAUAUCAUCGGAAAUAAGGCUUGCAAAGUUAUGCGUUGUGAGUUUUGGCUUCUUGACCUGCGGGAUCCGUGGCUGUAAAUAUUGUUUCACACAGGCAUUACAGUCAAGAUGCAGAACUCUGCACCAAGGAUGCCUGGUAUGGGACCAUCUGACAAAGAAUUGAAUGACUUAUUGGAUUUCAGUGCUAUGUUUUCCCCUCCAACUGGUGCCGGUGGUAAGCCAGGAGGUAAUACUGUACCCAUGAGCCACUGUGGUCCAGGAACAGUCAGACCAGUGCGACCUACAGGACCAGUACGGUCAGCAGGACCAGGUAUACCUCCAAGUCCAACUGGGCCAGCAGGUCAACCAUCUAACUAUAAACCUGGUGAGAAAUAUAUCCAUUUGUGACAUCUUUUAUCCCAUUUUUGCCAAUGCAUAAACUACAGUGAUGCUUUGGUCUUGACGCUCGCGAAAGGUGCAGUUUACACUGUAAAGCUAUGCCCUUCAGUCAACAUCCAGGAUUGAAUUUUGGGGUUGGUUUCUUUUAUGGGUACAUUUUACCUCAAUAGGGUACGCGAUUCGCUGCUACCCAGUUCCCUGAUACCCGUAAAUGCACACCACUAGAUGGGUACCCACUAACUUAGUAAUUAAGGUGGCCAAUUCAAAUUUAUAAUUCUUAGUACAGGUAGUUUUUAAAUCUGAUACGAGUACACAGUAGAACAUUUCCCAUGGUUUCUUUGGAAAUCAUUUUUAAGCUAACAGUGCGAAACAUUUCCGUGGUGUGAAAUUGCAAUUCAGUGGAUCAUAAGCAAAGGAUUAACCAUCAUUGCAUGCUGUGCUGCUGUUUCAAUCAUUGUAACUGCAAAUUCUGUUCGCAAGGCUAAAAUGACGCAAGUGGUAAACCAUAUUCUGUGAGAGGGGGGGGGGGAGGAUUCUACAAUUGGUGCCUUUUGAAGGCCAAGCACAAUGAUUGAGGAAACAUGGCCCAUUUCUAAAUCAUGGGGAUAACUGGGGGAUAAGUUUUUUGGAGAAAAUAUGAAAACAAAUUAAGUGCAAAUUUAAGGAGCACUUUCUAGGGAAAGCAUCCUUUUGGAGUUGAGAAACACUUUUGCCACAAAGUGAUAAUGGUUGGAAAUUUGCAAUUUUCUUGUAAUUACCAAUAGAAGGGAUUUCAGGUUGCAAAAGUUAGGUCCUCAAAUUCCAACUGUAGGAAUGCUGGAAGUCAUUCUAGUCACAGUUUAUUUUCAAAACGUUCUUUAAUGCUGUUUUGCACCCAUCAAGACUACCUUGACCGUCCGAUUGUACUUGUUCCCGUUUUACAUGUUUUACGUUUUACCAAUACAUGGAGUGUUCUUGACUACGGUACAUUUCCUGUUAAUGUUAAGCCCACAUUUACUCAAGCCUGUAAUUAAACUACAAGGUUAGGAAGUUUAAAACAUUCGUGAAAAUGUGCUUUCAUCUUUUACAUGGAGACUGGACUUUUAGCCUUUACCGUAACACAACAUGAGACAAGUGGAACCAGACUAAUGUACAUUUGCAGACUGCUACUUCAUCCCCAUUCAUCGCUCACUUUACUGCUGCAAGGAAACUGUGUUUUGCAAAUGAGGCUGUUUUGCACAAAAUUACGUCAUGACUAAAGUAUGUUCUUCAAAAAUGUUUCCAGUACACUCUGGGAUAAUAGAAAACCUACUUGCAAAGAUAGAGUCUAGAACUUUAAACUUGGCGACUUGAUUUUAAAGUGACUGGUAAGCAUGGCGGCUGUCAUGCAAAGUUUAGGGGCAUGUCAGGCUUGUAUUACAGGUUGGAGAGUGCAUUUACAUGUAAGAGGUCAGAAUUUCCAGUUUAAAGCUUUAGCAUUUUUUUUAAGAUUCUGUCUUCAAUCAUAGUCCCUAUAUAAUUUGAUGAUAAAUACAGGGUAUCAAGUUCAAGGAGGAGACAAGAUCUUUCAUUUGAGUGAUGUGCCAAUGAGAUGAAAUAUGGUUUAGUGGGCUUAAAUUAUGAAUUCUAUAUUUCAUGCGUUCAUACAUACGUUGCGCAGGUGCCGACCCAGAUUACAUUAGUUUAGCCGAGCAGGAAACGCCUAGGUAGGUGGGCUUUAUAUAUUAUGCUAAAAAGAUUUUUUUGUUUUAUUUGUUUCUUAAUAUAUGUAUAAACUUGUACCAAAAAUGGGCUGACAAACUGCAAUGCGAGUUACUGUAAUGCGAGUAACAAGCCUUUGUUUCUUACACAUACAUGUAGUACAUGUAUCUUUACCUGACUUUGGUCUAAAUUAUAUAUUGUCCACAUUUAUUGUAAAAAUGUUUAUUUGAUUAUUGCAGUUACAUCUAAGGAAUCUACUUAAUUAAUGACAAACACGUUAUGGCAUUUUAUUUGUGUGUAAUUUGAGUAACCACAUUUCCAAAGAGAAUCAUGCUCAAGUGAGAGAACAUAAAACUUAUUUGUUGUCAUCAGGGAAAAGCCUUGAAUAUUGGGUAUGUUAUUGUUAAUGCAAAUACCCCGGUAGAUAGUCCAACAAGCAUGAAGACUCACAAUGUAAAAGGACCCAAAGUGUAAUGAGAGAAAAUCCUUGAAUUGCCCACAUACAUUAUGAUUUAUAAUUUAUUUUAGGAUUUUUUUUCUUCAAAAACUUAGCUUGAAACUGUUCUCUUUAUAAAUCAGUUCAAAGCGCCACAUGAUGUACAUGAAAACUCUUAGCAAAUGGAGUCCUGAAGGAAUUACACAUGCAAUUUAUGUAUGUUUCCACAUACAUUUACCUCAUUAUGGUACCUUUCUUCCUUCAUUCAACGGAAUUGUUUCCUUUCUUGAAAUUCUUGUGUUAUUCCCUGCUCAAUCCAGGUACAUGCAUGUGUAUGGUGCUUUGCUCACAUUCUGCAAGCCACUUCAGCCAUGCACAAGCCGUGGCUGAUUCUAAAACUGUGGCUUAAAAACCUGAGUAGUGACAAAGCACACUUGAGGGUGUCAGCAUAUAGAUUUGCCUUUAUGUGUCUUUUUUGUCAUGUUAAUUCCUUCUUAAUGGAGGGUGAAUUGCAUCAAUUGGAUCCCAAGGCUGUCCCUUGAUUUCAAGAGCUCUGUUUUCUAUUUCACACACAUGCACAAGAUUCCACAUUUUAAGGGACGAUGUGACAAAAAUACCACUCAUUCAGAAUCAAAAUCUAAUACAAAUCUGGGGAUUUUAGACAGUUCACAUUUAUGUACCUUUGCCUACUAUACAUCCCUAACCUGCUAAAUGCAGCAGAAUGCAGUGGUGGUAAUAAGGAUGUGACUUUGCGUUUGAUAUUUUAAACAUUUAGCAAAUAUUUUCAUAAUCGUUUAAAUUAUGUUUAAACGUUUAGCCAUUCACAAAGGCUGACGCGUGCUCAUUAUGCCUGCAGACCGGUGUGAUUGACAUGAUAAAUCAACAAUGGCAGCCAUUGAAAACGUACAAACUUAAUUACGUGGGUCCCGAACGUAAUCAAGUGUUGAAGUGCUUUGAAGGUUUUGUAACUUGAAUAGCUUUGAAAAUAUUGUUAAUUAUUUGUGCUACAUGUAUGUAGGUUUAACUCAAAGGAAGACUGCGUGAACGGUGAACGUAGGUCUCUUUUAUAUAAUUAAGGUUUCGUUUGAACAUUUGUGGAAAAUUUGUGAAUUGUUUUUGUUUAAACGUGUAAACGUCUCAUCCUUAGCUGGUAACCAUAAGUUGCACACUGAGCAGUC